rnacentral:lncRNA from 1 species
CUAGUGUCCUCGCGAAGGGUGCGGAGCACCCUAACUCACACUCGCACACGCUCGCGCGCGCGCGCGUGGCGUGGGCGAUGAGGCGCAAUGUGGCGCUUUGAUGGCGCACUUUGCACUUCGCACGCUCGCAUCGCCGCGAGCCGCUUGAGAGCCGCCUUUGUAUUUUUGACCGCGCGCGCGUGGUGAAGCACAAGGGUUGCAAGGACCAAGUGGUAGGUGAUGCGGUGCAUGACGUGGCAGUCAUGCGCAUGCGCGCGCGGGUACACGAGGCGCGCGGUUCGGAGCAUGGUGCAUGGGUCUUACUGUGCCGUGUGCGGCGCACCAGAGUGAGCCAAUACGGCGUGACUGUGUGGCGCGCACGUAUAGACUCACAAGGUGACGUGGCGCACGCCGCACCGCCGCAUGGACGGACUUGAGCUGCACCGCCGCACGCCGCAUGGACGGACUUGAGCCGCACCGCCGCACCGCGCACGGCAGUGAGCCAAGAGGCCGCACGCCGCACGACAGUGAGCCAAGAGGCCGCACGCCGCAUGGCGCACCGCGCAUGGGCGCGCGCGCGCGCAGAAGCUUCCAGCAUUGAAUGACAGGGCAGUUUCAGUCCAGCUUCGUAACUGACGAG